rnacentral:rRNA from 1 species
AUUCCAGCUCCAAUAGCGUAUAUUAAAGUUGUUGCGGUUAAAAAGCUCGUAGUUGGAUUUCUGCUGAGGACGACCGGUCCGCCCUCCGGGUGAGCAUCUGGUUCGGCCUUGGCAUCUUCUUGGUGAACGUAUCUGCACUUGACUGUGUGGUGCGGUACCCAGGACUUUUACUUUGAGGAAAUUAGAGUGUUUCAAGCAGGCAUACGCCUUGAAUACAUUAGCAUGGAAUAAUAAGAUAGGACCUCGGUUCUAUUUUGUUGGUUUGCGCACCAAAGUAAUGAUUAAUAGGGACAGUUGGGGGUAUUCGUAUUCCGUUGUCAGAGGUGAAAUUCUUGGAUUUACGGAAGACGAACUACUGCGAAAGCAUUUACCAAGGAUGUUUUCAUCG